rnacentral:rRNA from 1 species
UACGAAGGGGGCUAGCGUUGUUCGGAAUUACUGGGCGUAAAGGGCGCGUAGGCGGUUGCUCAAGUCAGGCGUGAAAGCCCCGGGCUCAACCUGGGAAUAGCGCUUGAGACUGGGCGGCUUGAGUUCGGGAGAGGUGAGUGGAAUUCCCAGUGUAGAGGUGAAAUUCGUAGAUAUUGGGAAGAACACCAGUGGCGAAGGCGGCUCACUGGACCGACACUGACGCUGAGGCGCGAAAGCGUGGGGAGCAAACAGG